rnacentral:lncRNA from 1 species
AAUUAUUAUUAUUAUUAUUAUUAUUAUUAUUAUUAUUAUUUAGUUAUUAUGUUUUUUUUUCUAUUAUAUGUAUAUUGGCACUGAAUUUCUGCCAUUAAUAUGUUGUAAACUGCCUUGAGUCCCCCAAGGGUGAAAAAGGUGGUAUAUAAAUACAGUAAAUCAAUCAAUCAAUCAAUCAAUCAAGCUGAUGUCACCUGCCUACUUAGAACAUCUCAUAUCAGAUCUAAUAUAAUGCAAGUCUUACCUUUUUUUUUUACAAGAUAAAUAGAAAGUUUUUACCAAAGUAAGUUCUUUCACAGAUUUUAGAAUAUAUGUUUAACCAAACAACAGAUUAACCGAACAGAUAACAUCAACCUUCCAUAUUUGCUGGUUAAGCAACUGUGGUUUGAUUAUUCAUGGGUUGGUGUAUGUAUUUGAUGCUGCCUCAGCUGCCCAACAUACAACUGACAAAAUAUAUUAUUUCUAGGCAUUUGUAGAUCUUAAAGUGUGAUUCUAUGGAAGCUGACCUUAUAAUUACAUGGGAGAGCCUACAAAUGCUUAGAGAAAUGCUAAAAAAUAGUGUUUGCAAUUCUUAUUGAUAUUUCGGGUUUUUCCACUUUCAUGAGGACAUUGCAACCCUACCCUCACAAAUGAGAACAUAUUACUGUACAACCAAGCAGAUAAAGUUACAAGCAAUAGCACCUCUCAAUAUUACUUUCUGCAAAAUGUCUUUGUUGUUACAGGGGACAGGGAAAAGGCAGAACUGCUCAAUGCCUUCUUUGCCUCGGUCUUCUCACAAAAAGAAAGCCAUCUUCAACCUCAGCAACAUGGAAUGGAUGAAGGAUUGGCGGAAAUCCAACCCCAAAUAGGGAAACAAGCUGUCCAGGAACACCUGGCCUCUCUAAACGAAUUCAAGUCCCCAGGGCCAGAUCAGCUACAUCCAAGAGUAUUGAAGGAAUUAGCGGAAGUUAUUUCAGAACCACUGGCAAUUAUCUUCGAGAGUUCUUGGAGAACGGGAGAAGUCCCAGCAGAUUGGAGGAGGGCGAAUGUGGUCCCUAUCUUCAAGAAGGGAAAAAAGAACGACCCAAACAAUUACCGUCUGGUCAGCCUCACAUCGAUACCAGGCAAGAUUCUGGAAAAGAUCAUCAAGGAAGUGGUCUGCGAACACUUAGAAACAAAUGCGGUCAUUGCUAAUAGUCAACACGGAUUUACCAAAAACAAGUCAUGCCAGACUAAUCUGAUCUCUUUUUUCGAUAGAGUUACGAGUUGGGUCGAUACAGGGAAUGCUGUGGAUGUAGCGUACCUGGAUUUCAGUAAGGCCUUCGACAAAGUCCCCCACGACCUUCUGGCAAAUAAACUAGUAAAAUGUAGGCUAGACAAAACUACGGUUAGGUGGAUCUGCAAUUGGCUAAGCAAACGAACCCAAAGGGUGCUCACAAAUGCGUCAUCUUCAUCAUGGAAAGAAGUGACAAGUGGAGUGCCGCAGGGCUCCGUCCUGGGCCCGGUUCUGUUCAACAUCUUUAUUAACGACUUAGACGAAGGGUUAGAAGGCACGAUCAUCAAGUUUGCAGAUGACACAAAACUGGGAGGGAUAGCCAACACUCCAGAAGACAGGAGCAGAAUUCAAAACGAUCUUGACAGACUAGAGAGAUGGGCCAAAACUAACAAAAUGAAGUUCAACAGGGACCAAAUGCAAGAUACUUCAUUUCGGCAGAAAAAAUGGAAAUCAAAGAUACAGAAUGGGGGACGCCUGGCUUGACAGCAGUGUGUGCGAAAAAGACCUUGGAGUCCUCGUGGACAACAAGUUAAACAUGAGCCAACAAUGUGAUGCAGCAGCUAAAAAAGCCAACGGGAUUCUGGCCUGCAUCAAUAGGGGAAUAGCGUCUAGAUCCAGGGAAGUCAUGCUCCCCCUCUAUUCUGCCAUGGUCAGACCACACCUGGAAUACUGCGUCCAAUUCUGGGCACCACAGUUGAAGGGAGAUGUUGACAAGCUGGAAAGCGUCCAGAGGAGGGCGACUAAAAUGAUUAAGGGUCUGGAGAACAAGCCCUAUGAGGAGCGGCUUAAAGAGCUUGGCAUGUUUAGCCUGCAGAAGAGAAGGCUGAGAGGAGACAUGAUAGCCAUGUACAAAUACGUGAAGGGAAGUCAUAGGGAGGAGGGAGCAAGCUUGUUUUCUGCUGCCCUGCAGACUAGGACACGGAACAAUGGUUUCAAACUACAGGAAAGGAGAUUCCACCUGAACAUCAGGAAGAACUUCCUCACUGUGAGGGCUGCUCGACAGUGGAACUCUCUCCCCCGGGCUGUGGUGGAGGCUCCUUCCUUGGAGGCUUUUAAGCAGAGGCUGGAUGGCCAUCUGUCGGGGGUGCUUUGAAUGCGAUUUCCUGCUUCUUGGCAGGGGGUUGGACUGGAUGGCCCAUGAGGUCUCUUCCAACUCUACUAUCCUAUGAUUCUAUGAUUCUAUGAUCUUAUUUUCCUUGCUGGGCACCAUGGCCCGUGGCACAGGCAGGCCAGGAGGUGGAGGGAGAGAGAGGGGGAGAGCUCGGAAGUCAGCAGCAGCAGCAACAGCCCAAGGAGCCACCGGAGCAGGAAGGAGGUGCAGACGGGAGGAGGAAAGGCAGCCGCGGAGGGCUCGAAGGCGGCAGCAUACUUCCCUUGUUCUCGAUGGUCGCCUCCCUUAUCCUUUUCCUUUGCUGCCCCCCCUCCCUUACUCACUGGCCCACUCACCGGGCUGGGUCCUGGUAGCAAGGCCAGAACCAGGGCCCAGCCCAGUGAGUGAGCGAGCGAGGGCGAGAGGGCAGGUGUUGGAUAAUUCUGUGUGUCGGAUAAGCGAAAGUCAGAUAAGUGGGACUCUACUGUACUAUCAAUUGAGGUUUUAUCCUUUAUCAUUAAUAAGAACCUCCUGUCUCAUUAAGAUGGCUGUAUCAAAUUCAGCAACAUAUAGCACUGUAUGACAGUGGCAGUAACAACAGAGGAUGAAUUCUUUGAAAUCCUGCUAGUGAGCCCUCUGGGGCAUGUCAUUGGUGUCUCUAUAAAGCACGAUAAUGGAUGAGAUGAAAGUUGAUGAGAACCAGAAGUACUCUUCAUUUGUUUUUCCAGUAAAAAGCACAUUUUUAUUUCCUUGAGAAUUCACAGAUUGCCCAACCAGCAUCCUGAGCAACAGAUAUGCACUUAAAACAAAAAAAACCCUCAGAGCCCAGGAAAUUGUUUUACAUACAAGAGAAAUCAGUGUACUAUAGCUCUUUGAGCAUUGGACCACUACUAUAGAAAUUGGGGAUUGAAUCACUGCUCAGCCA